UNGCCUUUAUUUCUCAGGAGAGACACUGUGC
rnacentral:piRNA from 1 species